AACUUUGCGCAGUGGCAGUAUCGUACCGAAUGAAAUUUAACCGAGGGGCGAUUAUUGCUAGUUGAAAACUUUUCCCAAUACUCCGUCCAGACGACUUGAAAUAUAGUCGGCUGUGGCAAUUUUUUUUAGCUCAAUUAUGUUAUGUUGGUUUGGCAGGGUGAG